AGAACAGAAUGCUGGAAAGAAGGGAAGUGAGCUCAGACACCAUGCCUCUCCUCUCUGGUCAGACGCCAUGAAGCUCCAGCCCAAGCUGGAUGUACACUAGAAUCUUUCUGCAGAAAUGAUGUGAAAAAGCUCCAAUGUGCUUCUUCAGCGAUGUUUUCCUUUGGUCUUAAAACAAAGUGGCCAAAUCUUCUAAGUCUGCAUCCAAGUUGCCAUGCAGGAAGAAACCAGACUGCAGAGAAUAACCUACUCUUAAAAACAUGUCAAGUUCCUACCAUAAGACAUAUUCAUAGGCUAUUAUAUCUUUGCUUUUUAAAUAAUUUCAUACGUACUGAAGUGCUUCCGCUAAUGGAGAUUGUUCAUGCCUUGCUUUUUGUUAGUUGUAUCCUGUGUAGUUGGUAUAGACCACUGUAGUUAUCAGUUUCAAACGAAUUAAAAUGAACAUUCUUGUA